AAAUCUGUUUAACUUUCUGGCAUCAGUUGAUAAAAAAAAUAAAAAAAAGUUUUCCACCGCAGUACCCCUUUAACCGCUUAGAUGCAGCGGUCAACAGCGAUCAUGACAUCUAUGUGGUUAGGAUGGGGUUGGGGGAGUAAGUUGUGCUCAUUCAAAAACUUUGCAAUAGAGUCCAGUGUUUUUUUAAAUUGGCCUCUUUCUUUUCCUAUGUAAAAAUAUAUGUGCAGGCCUCCUGACAAGGGAGAGGGAGGAGGGUGAGAAAAAGAGCGAAUUUCCACUGUUCUAGAAGAAACGACCCAGGUUCCAACUCGCCUGCAAACUCGACACUUCUUAGACUUGCUUGAACCAUAUUGCAUGGAUUAGAAGGAAAAAGAUCACGGAUAAUAGUGACCCUCUAUACAGAGAAUAGCAAUUAUAUCAGUACUUGUGUCACCUCGGAUUUCCAGCACUUUAUUACUGAAGUAGUAGCUGAAGGUAAGGGGAAUUUUCUUCUGAAAAUCCUCUGUGUGUGAAUUUACCCUAACAAGUACUGUAUGGGAUGCAAUUAAAGGGAAACUAUUAUUUCUGCAAG